rnacentral:rRNA from 1 species
GACGAACGCUGGCGGCGUGCUUAACACAUGCAAGUCGAACGGAAAGGCCCUGCUUGCAGGGUGCUCGAGUGGCGAACGGGUGAGUAACACGUGGGUGAUCUGCCCCUUACUUUGGGAUAAGCCUGGGAAACUGGGUCUAAUACUGGAUAGGACCAUGCUGUAGGUGGUGUGGUGGAAAGAUUAGUUUCGGUAAGGGAUGAGCUCGCGGCCUAUCAGCUUGUUGGUGGGGUAAUGGCGUACCAAGGCGUCGACGGGUAGCCGGCCGGAGAGGGUGGACGGCCACAUUGGGACUGAGAUACUGCCGAGACUACUACGGGAGGCAGCAGUGGGGAAUAUUGCACAAUGGGGGGAAGCCUGAUGCAGCGACGCCGCGUGGGGGAUGACGGCCUUCGGGUUGUAAACUCCUUUCAGCCAUGACGAAGCCCUUGUGGUGACGGUAGUGGUAGAAGAAGCACCGGCUAACUACGUG